CUCUUUGUCUUGAUGUGAGUAACCUAAAGUUUGUAAAUAAUCCGACAUAAUCUCCCUUGAUGAGCUAUGCUCUUGGAGAAAAUGUCUGUAAUAAAAUAUGUUUAAAUAAAAAAAAAGUGGCCCUACUGGUUGUCUCCCCAUACUGUGACAUGUGUUUCACAGAAAUAUAUCUGCCUAUCAUCAGGUAAUAUACACAUGGUUACUUAAAACAAAAUUAUUGUUGGAAAUAACAGGGCUUUCUGUGUCUGGGCUUGUAAUUUUCAUUUUUUUUGGCGGGGGAGGGAUCAUUCCUUAAUUGCGGGGUGAAUGCAGGAGUUGAGUGUUUGACAUCUUCAUACAUAGACAUUCCUAAACAGUUGGAUUACACACUUCCGGAAAGCACGUCACCUUGUGUAAGGAGCCUCGUUCUCAUUUGCGACGUCGGAUUUAAUUGUCACAUAUACUAAGAAGACAUUUAGAGAAAAACCAAGAUUUUGUGACAUUUUUUCGUGCAACUGUAUAUGCCUUUAUCGGUACGUAAACAGGACGACAUUUGACUGCAUGAAUACUUCAAUUACCAAUCUGAUUGUAUUCAUCCUUAGCACAAAAGCCUAGCAGGGGUUUUAGACGUCGUGCACGCUUUGUUGAUCAUCAGAGUUGA